rnacentral:rRNA from 1 species
CAAUAGCGUAUAUUAAAGUUGUUGCAGUUAAAAAGCUCGUAGUUGGAUUUGUGGCGUACGGUGUGUUCCGGGCACUUGUUGUCUGAGUAACCUGCUGUUGCCAUCCUUGGGUGGAACCUGUGUGGCAUUAGGUUGUCGUGCAGGGGAUGCCCAUCAUUUACUGUGAAAAAAUUAGAGUGUUCAAAGCAGGCUUAUGCCGUUGAAUAUAUUAGCAUGGAAUAAUGAGAUAGGACUUUUUUGCUAUUUUGUUGGUUUGCGCAAAGAGGUAAUGAUUAAUAGGGACAGUUGGGGGUAUUCGUAUUCCAUUGUCAGAGGUGAAAUUCUUGGAUUUUUGGAAGACGAACUACUGCGAAAGCAUUUACCAAGGAUGUUUUCAUCAA